UGACCUCGGAUCAGGUAGGGAUACCCGC
rnacentral:ncRNA from 6 species